rnacentral:rRNA from 1 species
UACAGAGGGUGCGAGCGUUAAUCGGAAUCACUGGGCGUAAAGGGCGCGUAGGCGGGAUGGCAAGUCAGUCGUGAAAUCUCUCGGCUCAACCGAGAAACGUCGCUGAUACUGCCGUUCUGAGGGAUGCAGAGGAGACUGGAAUUCCUGGUGUAGCGGUGAAAAUGCGCAGAUAUCAGGAGGAACACCCGGGUGGCGAAGGCGGGUCUCUGGGCCGAUACUGACGUGAGGAGCGAAAAGCGUGGGGGGAGCGAAACAGG